rnacentral:rRNA from 1 species
UACGUAGGGCGCAAGCGUUGUCCGGAAUUAUUGGGCGUAAAGAGCUCGUAGGCGGCUUGUCGCGUCGUCCGUGAAAACCUGCAGCUCAACUGCAGGCUUGCGGUCGAUACGGGCAGGCUAGAGUUCGGUAGGGGAGACUGGAAUUCCUGGUGUAGCGGUGAAAUGCGCAGAUAUCAGGAGGAACACCGGUGGCGAAGGCGGGUCUCUGGGCCGAUACUGACGUGAGGAGCGAAAGCGUGGGGAGCGAACAG